rnacentral:tRNA from 1 species
UGGGGCGUAGCCAAGUCGGUAAGGCACGGGACUUUGACUCCCGCAUUUCGUAGGUUCGAGUCCUGCCGCCCCAGCCA